rnacentral:lncRNA from 1 species
UUUUAGGGUAAUUUUUUCACUUUUCUUUACGAGACAAGGGUUACACAUGAAUUCGUAGUGGUUUGUCACCUGCGUCACGGGCCCCUCCAAGGCCCGGGCCCCGGUACCAAGGACCCAGUAUCCCCCCCCCCCCCUUGUGGCGGGCCUGGGUUGAACACUACCUGAAUUUAGUUCAAGUUCUAUAGCCCAAGCUGUGCUCGCAUUAUCACAUCAACAACCGUGAUCAGACUCAAAUUCGUUUAACUCUGUACCAGAUUUUUAUCAGAAUUGAAUAGGUUAAUUAUCAAAUUUGAUUGAAUGCAAUUCAACGCAACCAAACACUCGAUGACCUCAUAUUAGUGUCUUGCUUGUAAAGGAGUCUGAUCCACGACGCUUUUCACAACUUAUUCCUCAAGUUCUAAUGUUGAAAGUGGUAUUUGAUCAAUAAUUUCAUCUUUCUUAAAACGGAAUUUUGGUAAAAUGAAAGAUUGGGAGCUAAUUUUCUUGGUGUUCGGGAUCUAUAUGAUCAUGGUAGUCGCAGCAGUUCCUUUGGUGAUGGAUUUUACGGUAUUUCCAGCUGAUCCAGUAACUCCAUAGUGAUGCCGCAAUAAAUUGUGCCACACCGUCCGCGCCGCGGACGAUCAGUACAGAGACUCUGAGAUCCACAUAAUUUCGAUAACUUGAAGCUCCCAAUGUCGAUAAAACGAUAUCCUUCCAAAAAAACAAAAAUACGAUUUUUGUACAAAAUUUCGGCCCAAUCCAAAAAAUGUCACUAAUUACCAAAAAAAAAAAAAAAAAAUCAGGCACCCAAAAAAUAUGAUGGCAGUACCGUUUGGAUUCAUCAUUUAAAAGGAAAUGAUAUCAAAACGGCCCAAUUUCCUCUUUCAUGAUAUACUAUACACCCCAACGUUUUUCACAAAAAAAAAAAAAAAAAAAAUUAAACACCUACAAGGUAUGAUGACCUGAACACGUUUUGAUUCAUCGCUUUAAAGGAGUAUGAUAUCAAAUCGGCCCAACUUCUCUGAAAUAUGCCCAUCUCUGAUCAAUAAUUUUUUCGAGACCUUCCGACUUAUCGCUGAGGAGACACUGAUCAUUACUUGACCCUUAGUGCAUGUCCUUGUUUAGAUGUCAAGGAGGUCCAUAUGAGAACUGUAAUGGAUUUUUUUCCUUAAAGAGAUAAAAACAAAAAAUCGUCAUAAAAUUGAAAAAAAAUUCGAAGAAAAAAAAAGGAAUGGGCCGGCCGGCCGUACAUACAAGUGGUAGAUAAUAGGGUGAUAAUCGUCUCUCUUGCAUAUAUACAUGAACCAGUAUCAUCGUCAAAAGGAGGAUCAGUCCUUCUCGAAAUCGUCAUUGAAAGAG